rnacentral:lncRNA from 1 species
UGCAGCCGCCAUCUUCCUAGUGGGAGCUACGACACUCUUCUUUGCCUUUACCUGAGGAGGAUGAGGACAAGGAAGAUGAUUUCCGAGCUCCCCUUUACAAAACAGUGGAGAUAAAGGGCAUCCAGGUGCGCAUGAAAUGGUGUGCCACCUGCCGCUUUUACCGUCCCCCUCGAUGUUCCCACUGCAGUGUCUGUGACAACUGUGUGGAGGAAUUUGAUCAUCACUGCCCCUGGGUGAAUAACUGUAUUGGUCGCCGGAACUACCGUUAUUUUUUCCUUUUCCUCCUUUCCCUGACAGCCCACAUUAUGGGUGUGUUUGGCUUUGGCCUCCUUUAUGUCCUCUACCACAUAGAGGAACUCUCAGGGGUCCGCACGGCUGUCACAAUGGCAGUAAUGUGUGUGGCUGGCUUAUUCUUCAUCCCUGUAGCUGGCCUCACGGGA